GAUGAUGGUGUGAAACUUUUAUGCGACAAAAAAAACAAAACACCAUGAGUUAGAUAGGUUGUGCAAUAACAAGAAAUGAGGCAUCCUUUCUUCCCUUGCGUGGUGGUCUUCUUGGCAUUGAUUUUCUUGGGCAUCAAGGGGGCUUUCCUAGGCAUCCCUUUAAGAGGAAGUUAGAUCUCUUUUUCUUUGUUGCUUUCAGAAGGUGUGAUGUCUAGAGACUUCAUUCUGCUUUCCUAUAGUACC
rnacentral:lncRNA from 1 species